AGCCGCUAACCGUUCCGGAGCCGCGGCGCGCAGGAGGCCCCCUCCCCGGCAGACGCCCGAGGCCGUUACGUGACCUCGCCGCCCCCCGCCCCGGGCGCGGCGGGCUGUGCCCGCGCCGCCGCAGCCCUCCCCUUUCCGCCCCUCUCGUUCCUCAUUCGAGGUUAACCGUCCGGAGAAGUCUGGGGAGCUAGAGGGCGGCGCCGUCCUGCGGCCGGGCAACAGCAGCCCCGCCCGGAGCAUGCAGCGCGGGAGACAGAGGGCACCACGCCUGCGCGGACCGGCGACUCUCACGUGGAGCACGACGGGAACUGUAGUCCGCCCUAGGGUCUGAACGCGUGUGGCGAGCUGCUUUUUCCUCACCUGUGCUCCACGUACUCAGUAUGCUGCUUAGAGGCACUCAGUGAACACUGACCCGCGAACCGCAAGGGUCAUCUCUAAAAGCUCUCUGGAAACCUUAACUCUAUGGCACCCAAACCUCCCAUUACGGUAUCUAGUUACCUUAGAUGUGACCUCUGUAAAAAUUCAGUUGUCUUUUCUAAGACACCUGUAUCUUGUUCAUCAUUAUGGGCUACUUUCCCCUUUCUUGUUCAUAUCCUUUUGAAACUGCAAGCCAGGCUUAAAUUUCCAUUAAAGAGAACUUAUACAGACAUGG
rnacentral:lncRNA from 1 species